rnacentral:rRNA from 1 species
AAAACGGAAUUAGAUUCAACGGCCGCGGUAUUCUAACCGUGCGAAGGUAGCGUAAUCACUUGNUCUUUAAUUGAGGAAUGAAUGGCCUCACGAGGCUACACUGUCUCCUUUUUCUAAUCAAUGAAACUGAUCUCCCCGUGAAGAAGCGGNAAAUCUAUAAGACGAGAAGACCCUAUGGAGCUUUAAACAACAGGAAUACUUGCUUCUGUAAAAUAAAUUUAGCACUUUAUCUCCUAGUUUUAGGUUGGGGUGACCACGGAGAAAAAAUAAACCUCCACGUUGAAAACGACUUUAUGCAUCAACACAUUGACUCCCAUUGACCCAAUAAUUUGAUCAACGAACCAAGUUACCCUAGGGAUANCAGCGCAAUCUACUUUAGAGCUNAUAUCGACAAGUAGGCCNNNNNNCUCGAUGUUGGAUCAGGGUGUAAGCUAUG